rnacentral:rRNA from 1 species
GAUAAACGCUGGCGGCGUGCUUUACCAAUGCGAGUCGAACGGGCGCUGCGUGCCAGCAAUGGGGCGUGGGCGUCAGUGGCGUCCGGGUGCGUAACACGUGGGUGACCUGCCUGUGCGUGGGGGAUACCCGCCCGAAAGGGUGGCUAAUACCGCGUGCGCUCUUGUCUGUUUGGGAGAAGAGGAAAGCUGCCGGUUGCAAGACCGGUGGCGCGCGCAGAGGGCGUCG